UCUAGUACCAAAACCCUUGAAACCUGCAAGAGCUGUGUUUGCUGUGUUAAUGCUAGCAGUGCUGUUGCUAAUACUACCUGCAUCUGGAUGGAAUGUAAAGAAGGAAGUAGAAGCUACC